UACGAAGGGGGCUAGCGUUGUUCGGAAUCACUGGGCGUAAAGGGCGCGUAGGCGGCUUUAUAAGUCGGGGGUGAAAGCCUGUGGCUCAACCACAGAAUUGCCUUCGAUACUGUAUGGCUUGAGACCGGAAGAGGUAAGUGGAACUGCGAGUGUAGAGGUGAAAUUCGUAGAUAUUCGCAAGAACACCAGUGGCGAAGGCGGCUUACUGGUCCGGUUCUGGACGCUGAGGCGCGAAAGCGUGGGGAGCAAACAGG
rnacentral:rRNA from 1 species